GACGAACGCUGGCGGCGUGCUUAACACAUGCAAGUCGAACGAGGCCCUCCUUUCGGGGAGGUGUUCUAGUGGCGAACGGGUGAGUAACACGUGGGCAACCUGCCCCCGGCUCUGGGAUAACCCCAAGAAAUUGGGGCUAAUACCGGAUAUGACCGCUGACCGCAUGGUCUGGUGGUGGAAAGUUUUUCGGCUGGGGAUGGGCCCGCGGCCUAUCAGCUUGUUGGUGGGGUAGUGGCCUACCAAGGCGACGACGGGUAGCCGGCCUGAGAGGGUGACCGGCCACACUGGGACUGAGACACGGCCCAGACUCCUACGGGAGGCAGCAGUGGGGAAUAUUGCGCAAUGGGCGGAAGCCUGACGCAGCGACGCCGCGUGGGGGAUGACGGCCUUCGGGUUGUAAACCUCUUUCAGCAGGGACGAAGCGAAAGUGACGGUACCUGCAGAAGAAGCACCGGCCAACUACGUGCCAGCCGCCGCCGUAAAAC
rnacentral:rRNA from 1 species